CCUUGCUCCACAACCCCGGCCCGACUCGGCGUCCUCCGCCACCCUCCUCCUGGGCAGCGCCGACGGGGGGAUAUGGCAUCGGAGGACGUGGUGGGCAAGAGCAGGGGCGACACGGCCGUCACCACCAUCGUCAACCUGGCGGAGGAGGCCAAGCUCGCGCGCGAGGGGGUCAAGGCGCCCGGCCACCAGAUCCUCACCAUCUGCAAGUCGCUCGUCGCCGGCGGCUCAGCAGGCGGAGUGGGAGGGGCACUAGCGGACAGCUCGGCAACGGUGAAAUAGUCGACAGGAACACGCCUGUGCUGAUCGAUGCCCUGAGCUCAGACGGUUCUGCCUGCAAGAAGCUGGAGUCAUCCACGACAGCCCCGUUCGCAGGUUUCGAUCAUUAUUGAACAACAGUUCAUGGAUAUGCAAAUUUUGAAUUUGAUUCUCUGAUGCCCACAGAACUGAAAGCGUGAUUGCAAUCCCCAUUGUGCCAACAGUGAGGGUGGUUAUCACUUUCACCAAGUUUGUCCCCCUCAUCGAGCCUGAGGAGUUCUUCACUAUUGACUAAUGAAGUUAUUUUUAGAAACAAUGGUCAAGGACCCCACUCUGGCUCUAUAGUAUAUAACAGAAGCUCACCACACAAGAUCGAUAACCCUUUCAGAUCAUACUAUACCAAGCUGCUACUUCACUUCAGUAGAACAAUUGAUCACACACAAGAAGUUCAGAUCAGAAAAUGCAGGCUGUCGCUACUCCCAUCAGGUUCUCGGAUGUGUUCCCAUCAAGGGCUGACCGUGGAGAAGAGCACGGUGGUGGUUAGUGUCCCUGUUGUUGUCACGGCGGUGGUUCCGUGAAGAUCAAGAGGAGCAAGGAUGUUGUCAAGUUCAAGGUGCGCCCGUUGCAACUCCAACCUGUUCCCCCCCAAUUCAGCACCAAAGACAGAUUCGUUGUAAGGAACUUCAAAAUCUGGAGGCGCUUAGGAUGCCCCAGCCCGCUGCUUUUGUCUCCGUGCAGCCGUCCGAUGGUCAACCCACGCCGAGCAACGUCUCGAACAAGAAUAUGAAGCACGGUGGCAAGGUGUUGUUCUUGGAUGGCGCCGGGGAGGUCGCCAUCACCAUCAGUCGCAACUCGCAACAGCCUCUCUCCACAGUCCCUGCACCCGGUGAAUCUUCCGGUGAAUAUGCGGUCUGUGACUUAUUCGCAGAGCCAAAAUUACCAACAAGAUGAUUUCCAUAAAACUGUUGCACGGACCUUGAGCCAAGGAUCAACACCGAUGAGCAUGGAUUUUCAUCCACUUCAACAAACUCUUCUUCUUGACAAUGGCCACUUCUCCCCAAGCGAAAAAAAUCUGCUAGAAGACCUUAGAGGGCUUUAACAUUGGGAUGGAUAUUUGGGCCCUUACCUUGCUUUAAGUGGAGAUUCAGUUUUCUGUUUUCACUUAAUAUGACAACUGAAGAGCGAAAGACUUUGAAGGGCACAGAGUCUUCAGCUCCUUCUGUUCCUCCUGAUGGAGGAGUCAGCAAGGAACCUAAAAAAGGGGGAGAUUACCCAAUGGGAGGACAACUGGUCCAGCACGCCGCUCAUCCAAGGGCAACUGGACUCUAGAAGAGGUAAAGUUGGCACUCUGGUUUCCUAAAUUCGUUAAUAGCAUGCAUUUUCAGUACAACAUUUGAAUAAUGAUGUAAAUAACCUAUCUUAGUUAGCUUUGUUGAAUGUUAUGCAUUUUUAGUUAGGCUCAUUUGCUCAUUACUUUUUUAUUUUGCUUGAUCUGUUAAUGAAAUAAAAAGUACCCUGUCCUUAAGGUGCGUGAACUCUGUAAUCCUUGUUGAUUUCCGACCAUGAAUCAGCUGAAUUGUUAUUUUUUAUCAUGUAUUGUUAGGUACAGAGUUCAUGCCCAUACCAUUUAUAUUAUUCUUAGCCUGCCCAUACCACUUUGAUUUCAUUUUUCGUCCAUGUUUCAGUUGAAUUUUCCUAACAAACUAUGGUGUUAAUGCCAUGGAUGCUUGUGUGUAUUGGUGGUUUGCUAUUCUCACGUGUGGUUUCCUUGUGGUGUUGUUCUGAGGUCUACUUAACACUUUUGUCGUGGUUGUAUGGUGUUGGGAUUCACUAGGAGGUCUACUUAACACUUUUGUCGUGGUUGUAUGGUGUUGGGAUUCACUAGGAGGUCUACUUAACACUUUUGUCGUGGUUGUAUGGUGUUGGGAUUCACUAGGAAUGCGAUCGUAGCGGCUCGAGCUCUUCCUUACCAAGAGGAACACAAACAGAGCUCAGGUUUUUUUUUAUUUUGCUCUGCAUUAUCUACUGCUUCUCCAUUUGAUAAGUAACCGAUCAAUUUUUUGAAUAUUUUGAGCACAUCGGAGGUGUAGGAGUUGGUGAACACCCAUGAUCUGUAGAUGUCGCAGUUGGAAGGGUCCAGGAAGAUUUAUGCACAGGGAGAUGAUUAUCACGAGUACUUCAAGCGCUCAUUUGAGGAAGACAUCGCUGCGCAAGUGCCUCAAGGAGUGGAAUGGGGUUACAACUAUUGAUUGGGGGAAAUCAGGCAGAGGAGGGCAUGUUGACGGACCAAGUGGCGAGGCAAAAUUUUCUAAUGAUUUUGAAGUUCAUUAUAUUGGCAGUAGCUGAUGAUCCCUUCUGUGAUGGACCGAGUAAACCAAGCAAUUCGGGAUAUUCAACUCCACUUUGAUGACUGUGUGUACCAGCAUGAGAUGUUGAUUACAAUUCACGACAUAUUUAUUGUUGUUUAUUUUUUAUUUUUCAUAUUAUAGUGAUGUUUGUUGUUCCGUAUC